GCCGCGCUGCCGUCGCUCCGCGGGGAUAAAUCCUCCAUUGUAGUGGGAAUUUCCACGGGCUCAUCCCCCACAGCCCUCGAACGACUUUCCCUGGCUCAACAGAAACGCAUCAUGGAGAACCAGACUUUAUUUAGUUGCCUGAUUCCAAGGUCCCAGCACCCGUCCCAUAAAGGACGCCCUUAGUGAAACUCGGGAGUCCUGGGGUGAGGCCCAGAGCGUUGUAACCAAACACUGAUCAGGAGGGGCAAACACGAGGUAAAAAGUGAUUCUCGGGUCAACUGGUUUGUCAGCAGAGCAGUGCGGUUCAGGAGAAACAAGGAAUGUGACAGACCCAAACAAGGUACCUUAAAAUAGCCCGUGCAUAUUUUAAAAUACCUUAAAAUUUUCAGGUGUAAAAUCAUGCACAGUCGAGAGAGACAAAGAAAAAAAAAAAAACCCAAACAAAAGCCCUGCUCGGUUUUCAGGACUUAAAUUAUUCACAAUCAUGAAAAAGAAGACCUAUGGCAGCCCUGCAGACAACUUGCCGUGUAGCUGUGUCAGUAAACCCAUCAGGACACACAUGGAGGAGACUGAAGUUAAAAGAAGACAGGGUAUAGGACACACUGGUUCCAUGCUUCAAAUUACAGCUCUUCAUUAGUGAUAAUGAGGUUUCCAUAAAACCAUGUAAGACUGCGAUGACAGAAUCUUCUGCUCACAACUCCUCUGACAGGACUGUGUAGAGACCACCCACAGCAAAGUGGCAUGAAUUGAAGAGUGACACUGGGCUGUCAUUUUAGUUGGGAUUUUUACAUAUAAACAGACUCCACGGAGAAUGGAGGCGACCUCUGGCACCAAAGGAGCAGAAUUUUUGUGAGCAAACCCUCUAGUACUCAAUAAAUGAAAUAGAAAGAA